rnacentral:tRNA from 1 species
UAAUAUUACUUUGGCAGAAUAGUGUAAUGAAUUUAGAAUUCAUAAAUGUAAUUAUAGUUACAAGUAAUA